CAUAACAAGUCUAUAUUUGGUGCCGUCAGAUCACUCUCUGAUGGAGAAUAGGGAAUACGGUGUAAAUCCGUAACGCUUGGGACCGGCGCUGUAAACGGAGAUUCUGUCUGCAAAAUGCCACUGUGUGUUUCAUUUGACGCGGGAAGGGGCAGAUAGAAGCAUGAUCCGUGAGUCAGAAGACCUGCCAAAUAAAAUAAUAAAAU
rnacentral:ncRNA from 2 species